UUCUAGCCCGAAUAGUAGUGGAAAGCCUUUUGCAGUCUAGUUGUAUUUUUUCUAGCUAAAAAAGAGCGACUAGCAGAAGCUCCUUUUUUGGCUUAGAAAAAAAAAACUAGACAAAAAAGCUUGGAACGGAUAGCCGGAAUAGCU
rnacentral:sRNA from 1 species